GUAGAAAACAAGGGUAUCCCCAGGGCUAUGGGAGGAAGGUCUAGUGGACUGGAACCAUUGUAUCUGUCGAUUAGUGGAGGCAAUCAUAUUUGUGAUCCUUGAGCUAAUGGUCUAGUAAGACUAUAAACUUGUUCAUAAUUAAAGCUGGCAAGAGGGUUCUUACCCCAGGUAAUGAGACAAGAGUGAACCACAGGAGGAAGCCAGCACAGAGACCGUAUGUAAUGAGUCCCUUCAUGGGAAAGGGAUGGAAAACAGUCCUCAGGCUAGCAGCAGAGGGAGUGCUGUCUGUUGUGGGUCUUGACCUGCUUAAGAGGUCUGACUUGAGGUGAGGCUGAAAGACAGCCCCGCUGGGGGCUUCAAGAUAACGAUGGACGGAUAGAGUUCUCUCACCGCUGAAUAUCUCCUAAGGCAUUAGUAAAACACUAUUUAAAUAUUUCCUCUGUAACUCAGUUGUGCUAUUAAAGCUCUGUUUCUCAAAGUAGGUCUGUAGAUGUUCUUGAGAGAGUGAGUGUUUCAUGAGAAUUUUCAAAUUUUCUGCUUUCGUUUUGAAGAUAAUCUUAAAGAAAUAAAAUCAAAAUGUUCUACUACAUUAUUUUUAGUGCUGAAGGCUGAGUUUGGUGCCAAAUGAAGAACAAAUAACAUCACGGCAUGCUAUGGAAAUGUCGAUUUUGCAUUAAGUUUGAAUAGAGAAAGAUGUGGGAAAAUUGAUCAAUUUUGUGGCCCAAAGGUAGUACAGACAUCAUUAGUUCAAAAUGUCUUCUGUCAUAGCAGUGGCAUAUCAUGUUGAGAAGUUAUUGUGAGACAUACCAACUUGAACUGUCAUUCAAUAGCAGGAAAGAAUACUGUUAUUUUUAUUCAAUAGUAUUUUUAAUGUUAAUCUUCAGUAUUUUUAUUAUUAUGUACUUAUUGUGGUGCACUAUUAAAUUUAUCAGCCCCUCAAACUAAUGGAUUAGUAGUUAAACAAGCUUAUUUACCAAAAACGAUUAAUCCUACGAUAACUUGAAGAAAGACUUAAGAUAUGCUUCCAGUAUUGUUCAAAGUCAAAAGAAUCAAGAGGACAGAAAGUGAAGCAUAAAACAUACAAAUAGUAGGUGUAUUAAACCCAACGCCAGCAAUUUAGUUCCAGCAAAAUAUCAUUUAUCACACUGAUGUUUUCUAUAUGAACUCUAGUGGCUUUUGUAUGUUUGCUUGUUUUUAAUUUGCAGCUUUGCUUGAGUUUUGAAGUAAUUUAAGAGCUAUAUGUAUGGGAAAUUUAUAUCUGUUCAUUUUGAAGUAACACAAUAAAAAUAAUGUAGAGCAACAGUAGGAUUUUAUGGGAGUUUUUUUUUAUCUUUUAAACAUUAUUCAAGCUUAAAAAAUCUAUGACAGAGAAUUAAUGGGAGGCUUUUAUGUCUACUCUUUCAGUCUCAGGCUAACUGGGCCAUAACACCUCUUCAGGCUGGGGUUGGGGUAAUGGAAGCAAUUAAUGAAAGACAAGGAAAGAAAUCGGGGAUGAGUUAGAUAUUUGUGGAC
rnacentral:lncRNA from 1 species